UACGGGGGGGGCAAGCGUUGUUCGGAAUUACUGGGCGUAAAGGGUUCGUAGGUGGCUUGCUAAGUCAGACGUGAAAUCCCUCAGCUUAACUGGGGAACUGCGUAUGAGACUGGUGAGCUUGAGUGCAGGAGAGGAACGCGGAAUUCCAGGUGUAGCGGUGAAAUGCGUAGAUAUCUGGAGGAACACCGGUGGCGAAGGCGGCGUUCUGGACUGCUACUGACACUGAGGAACGAAAGCCAGGGGAGCAAACGGG
rnacentral:rRNA from 1 species